UGUGUGUGCGUGUGUGCUUCCGUCAACAAUUUGUUUGUGUAGACAGUAGAGGUCACAGUUUUCAUCCAAUCUUUAUGAAAUUUGGUCAGAAUGUUUAUCUUGAUAAAAUCUGGGUUGGGAUUGUAUUUGGGUCAUCUGGGGUCAAAAACUAGGUCACUAGGUCAAAAAGUAGGUCAAAUAAUAGGUCAAAUAAUAGAAAAACCUUGUGUAGACAAUAGAGGUCACAUUUUUCAUCCAAUCUUUAUGAAAUUUGGUCAGAAUGUUUAUCUUGAUGAAAUCUGGGUUUGGAUUGUAUUUGGGUCAUCUGGGGUCAAAAACUAGGUCACUAGGUCAAAAACUAGGUCAAAUAAUAGAAAAACCUUGUGUAGACAGUAGAGGUCACAGUUUUCAUCCAAUCUUUAUGAAAUUUGGUCAGAAUAUUUAUCUUGAUGCAAUCUGGGUUGGGAUUGUAUUUGGUUAGUCAGGUGAGCGAUUAAGGGCCAUCAUGGCCCUCUCUGUUCCCAAUGACCUACGGACCCGUUCCCAAAAUGAACCGGACCCGUCCCAAUUUCUGGAAAAAAACAAACUUGAAUACCGUAAGAGGGUUGUUUAUUGUGUUGUUUUCUUUAUACUUGAUUGUUGAUUUAAUUUACAAUAAAGAGAAUUGAAUCAGCAGGAUUCAUAAUGCACAUCUUGUAUUCA